rnacentral:rRNA from 1 species
GCUGGGUGUGUAAGUGCAGCGAUGCAUUGAGCUAACCAGUACUAAUGAUCCGUGAGGCUUAACCUUACAACACCGAAGGUGUU